AUUGAACGCUGGCGGCAGGCCUAACACAUGCAAGUCGAGCGAGCGGCGGACGGGUGAGUAACGUCUGGGAAACUGCCCGAUGGAGGGGGAUAACCACUGGAAACCGUAGCCCAUACCGCAUUUCAUCUGACCUGACCAGAGGGGAUUAGCUAGUGGGUGUGGUAACGGCUCACCUAGGCGACGAUCCCUAGCGGGUCUGAGAGGAUGACCAGCCACACUGGAACGGAGACACGGUCCAGACUCCUACGGGAGGCAGCAGUGGGGAAUAUGGCGCAAUGGGCGCAAGCCUGAUGCAGCCAUGCCGCGUGUGUGAAGAAGGCCUUCGGGUUGUAAAGCACUGUCAGCGGGGAGGCGUUACCCGCAGAAGAAGCACCGGCUAACUCCGUGCCAGCAGCCGCGGUAAUAC
rnacentral:rRNA from 1 species